AGUGAACGCUGGCGGCAGGCCUAACACAUGCAAGUCGAGCGGAAGAAGGGAGCUUGCUCGUGGAUUCAGGUGCCGACGGGUGAGUAGUGGCUAAGAAUCUGCCUGUUUGUGUUGUAUAAGGGCAGGAAACGGGGGCUCAUACGGCAUAAGUCCAUACGGAGAAAGGGUGGGAUCAUGGGACCUCCGGAUAUCGCGUGAUCGAAUGAGGCUAUGUCGGAUUAGCUAGUUGGCGGGGUAAAGGCCCACCAAGGCGACGAUCCGUAACUGGUCUGAGAGGAUGAUCAGUCACACUGGAACUGAGACACGGUCCAGACUCCUACGGGAGGCAGCAGUGGGGAAUAUUGGACAAUGGGCGCAAGCCUGAUCCGGCCAUGCCGCGUGUGUGAAGAAGGUCUUCGGAUUGUAAAGCACUUUAAGUUGGGAGGAAGGGCAGUAAGUUAAUACCUUGCUGUUUUGACGUUACCAAAAGAAUAAGCACCGGCUAACUUCGUG
rnacentral:rRNA from 1 species